rnacentral:rRNA from 1 species
UAGGGAAUCUUCGGCAAUGGGGGCAACCCUGACCGAGCAACGCCGCGUGAGUGAAGAAGGUUUUCGGAUCGUAAAGCUCUGUUGUAAGAGAAGAACGUGUGUGAGAGUGGAAAGUUCACACAGUGACGGUAACUUACCAGAAAGGGACGGCUAACUACGUGCCAGCAGCCGCGGUAAUACGUAGGUCCCGAGCGUUGUCCGGAUUUAUUGGGCGUAAAGCGAGCGCAGGCGGUUUAAUAAGUCUGAAGUUAAAGGCAGUGGUUUAACCAUUGUUCGCUUUGGAAGCUGUUGAACUUGAGGGCAGAAGGGGAGAGUGGAAUUCCAUGUGUAGCGGAGAAAUGCGUAGAUAUAUGGAGGAACACCGGUGGCGAAAGCGGCUCUCUGGUCUGUAACUGACGCUGAGGCUCGAAAGCGUGUGGAGCAAACAGG